GACGAACGCUGGCGGCAUGCNUAAUACAUGCAAGUCGAGCGAGCUUGCCUAGAUGAUUUUAGUGCUUGCACUAAAUGAAACUAGAUACAAGCGAGCGGCGGACGGGUGAGUAACACGUGGGUAACCUGCCCAAGAGACUGGGAUAACACCUGGAAACAGAUGCUAAUACCGGAUAACAACACUAGACGCAUGUCUAGAGUUUGAAAGAUGGUUCUGCUAUCACUCUUGGAUGGACCUGCGGUGCAUUAGCUAGUUGGUAAGGUAACGGCUUACCAAGGCAAUGAUGCAUAGCCGAGUUGAGAGACUGAUCGGCCACAUUGGGACUGAGACACGGCCCAAACUCCUACGGGAGGCAGCAGUAGGGAAUCUUCCACAAUGGACGAAAGUCUGAUGGAGCAACGCCGCGUGAGUGAAGAAGGGUUUCGGCUCGUAAAGCUCUGUUGGUAGUGAAGAAAGAUAGAGGUAGUAACUGGCCUUUAUUUGACGGUAAUUACUUAGAAAGUCACGGCUAACUACGUGCCAGCAGCCGCGGUAAUACGUAGGUGGCAAGCGUUGUCCGGAUUUAUUGGGCGUAAAGCGAGUGCAGGCGGUUCAAUAAGUCUGAUGUGAAAGCCUUCGGCUCAACCGGAGAAUUGCAUCAGAAACUGUUGAACUUGAGUGCAGAAGAGGAGAGUGGAACUCCAUGUGUAGCGGUGGAAUGCGUAGAUAUAUGGAAGAACACCAGUGGCGAAGGCGGCUCUCUGGUCUGCAACUGACGCUGAGGCUCGAAAGCAUGGGUAGCGAACAGG
rnacentral:rRNA from 1 species